AAGAAGAAGAAGAAGAAGAUGAAGAUGAAUUGGAGGGAAGGGUGUUCGAGAGUGUGAAUUAGUGUGAUACACAUUUCCGAUGAGGCGCAAUUUAAGUAAUUUCGAGAAAUCGUGCGAAGGGUCGCGUGUAGCCUUUCUUUUAUCGGAGUCGACAUAGCGAGUCGAGGGGUCGUAUUUUGGCGGUUGAUAGAGGUGAGGGAGAUCGCGUAGUAGUUAGCAUCUCCUACCCAUAUGGCUUUACAGUAGAGG